rnacentral:rRNA from 1 species
GUGGGGAAUCUUGCGCAAUGGGCGAAAGCCUGACGCAGCCAUGCCGCGUGAAUGAUGAAGGUCUUAGGAUGGUAAAAUUCUUUCACCGGGGACGAUAAUGACGGUACCCGGAGAAGAAGCCCCGGCUAACUUCGUGCCAGCAGCCGCGGUAAUACGAAGGGGGCUAGCGUUGCUCGGAAUUACUGGGCGUAAAGGGCGCGUAGGCGGACAGUUUAGUCAGAGGUGAAAGCCCAGGGCUCAACCUUGGAAUUGCCUUUGAUACUGGCUGUCUUACGUACGGGAGAGGUGAGUGGAACUCCGAGUGUAGAGGUGAAAUUCGUAGAUAUUCGGAAGAACACCAGUGGCGAAGGCGACUCACUGGCCCAAUACUGACGCUGAGGCGCGAAAGCGUGGGGAGCAAACAGGAUUAGAUACCCGAGUAGUCC